rnacentral:tRNA from 1 species
GUGCCUACGCUAAGCUACGCCCGAUUUCAUUGGGCUUGCAGCGUUUCUAGGCAACUCAUAAUCCUUUGGUCCACGGUUCGAGUCCGUGUGGGCCCACCA